rnacentral:rRNA from 3 species
AAUCGACCUCAAAUCAGAUGGGAUUACCCGCUGAACUUAAGCAUAUCAA